CUAACACAACAAUCUGGUCUUUGACAACUGAUCAUGGUAAUAUCUGGCUUCAAGGACGAGUCUCAAUUUUAAGUUCUAAAAAUUACUAUAUUAUAUUUGAGGGUAUACGAGGUUCAAGUUAUACAGGUGAUAUAGCUGUUGAUGACAUCACAUUUACAGAUUCGUACUGUACAGUUCUACCAAAUGAUGCUGCAGCCAAUUCUUUACCUGGUUUAUCAACAAUUCCACCAACUACUGUUCCUACACAAG